UACGUAGGGUGCAAGCGUUGUCCGGAAUUAUUGGGCGUAAAGAGCUCGUAGGCGGUCUGUCGCGUCGGCUGUGAAAACCCGGAGCUCAACUCCGGGCCUGCAGUCGAUACGGGCAAACUGGAGUGUUGCAGGGGAGACUGGAAUUCCUGGUGUAGCGGUGAAAUGCGCAGAUAUCAGGAGGAACACCGGUGGCGAAGGCGGGUCUCUGGGCAACAACUGACGCUGAGACGCGAAAGCGUGGGGAGCGAACAGG
rnacentral:rRNA from 1 species